AUAUGUCUGUAAUCUGUCCCCACUUCUCAUUUUCUCCUAUGCAUAUACUUAUUUAAAGACCUUAUUGUUUUGCCUCUUACAGCAGUAAUCUUCUAAUUAGUCUCCCUGCCUGCAGUAUUGCUGACCUCAAGUUAAUCUUCCACUGACCUAUCAGUGAAAUGUAUCCCAAACACAAAUCAAAUCUGACUGUAAAAGAUCCCACUUAAACUUAUCAGUGGCUUUGCAUCACCUCAAGGAUAAAGUCCCAUUUCUUCAUAUGGCAUCCUUGAAGUUGGGCAUCUGUUAGGUAAUUGAAAGAAAAACUAUAAGGUCCAAUGGCAAGAAUAUCUUUUCACUCAUCUCUAACAUGCAUGUAUUAUCAUUACGCUAUCCUUGUGUUUUCUUUCCAAUUAAAAUAAUAUCUAGGAUGGUUUUAAUUUUCUCAGAUGAGGGAGCACAGUAAAGAGUUACUGAAAGAAAGAGGAACAGCAGAAAAUAUACCAGGGGAGGCUGCAGAAAAUCUAGGUUAUAACCCAGAUCUGCCACUGAGUCAAUAU
rnacentral:lncRNA from 1 species